GUAGGUGGCAAGCGUUGUCCGGGAAUUAUUAGGCGUAAAGCGCGCGCAGGCGGUUCUUUAAGUCUGAUGUGAAAGCCCACGGGCUCAACCGUGGAGGGUCAUUGGAAACUGGAGAACUUGAGUACAGAAGAGGAAAGCGGAAUUCCACGUGUAGCGGUGAAAUGCGUAGAGAUGUGGAGGAACACCAGUGGCGAAGGCGGCUUUCUGGUCUGUAACUGACGCUGAGGCGCGAAAGCGUGGGGAGCAAACAGGAUUAGAUACCCUGGUAGUCCACGCCGUAAACGAUGAGUGCUAAGUGUUAGGGGGUUUCCGCCCCUUAGUGCUGCAGCUAACGCAUUAAGCACUCCGCCUGGGGAGUACGGCCGCAAAGGCUG
rnacentral:rRNA from 1 species